rnacentral:rRNA from 1 species
AACGCGAAGAACCUUACCUACCCUUGACAUCCAACGAAGACUGUAGAGAUAUGGUUGUGCCGAAAGGAACGUUGAGACAGGUGCUGCAUGGCUGUCGUCAGCUCGUGUUGUGAGAUGUUGGGUUAAGUCCCGUAACGAGCGCAACCCUUAUGCUUAGUUGCCAACACGUAAAGGUGGGGACUCUAAGGAGACUGCCGGUGAUGAACCGGAGGAAGGCGGGGACGACGUCAAGUCAUCAUGGCCUUUAUGGGUAGGGCUACACACGUGCUACAAUGGUCAGUACAGAGGGCAGCGCAAGCGCAAGCUGUAGCCAAUCCCGAAAAGCUGAUCGUAGUCCGGAUCGGAGUCUGCAACUCGACUCCGUGAAGUCGGAAUCGCUAGUAAUCGCGAAUCAGAAUGUCGCGGUGAAUACGUUCCCGGGCCUUGUACACACCGAUAGC